rnacentral:piRNA from 1 species
UUUGUUUUAUUUUGUUCUGAAAUU